rnacentral:lncRNA from 1 species
AGGCUGAGCAUCAACUCUGUGUGUCCUCGGGGGCUGAGGCAGUAAAUUGGUCGUUUUCCCCCUGCCUCUGGGCUGGCCCGGGAAGCCGCGGGGUUAGAGGCGCUUCGUCCCCGAGGCUGGUCUGGGUGACACGAGCCUGCGGGGCCGAGCCCGAGGCCUGGAGAUAGGACCCGCCAGCAAGUAUGCAAGGAAUGUUUUUCUUCGGAUUCUACCGAGGCGCACGGGCCAUGGGGAUCCUGUCUGCGGUGACAGCCCUAACAUUUGCCAGAGCCCUGGACGCUGCUGCAGAAAUGGCAUUGCCCACCCGGAAAGUGAGAAGAUCGUGUAAGGAGGCCAAAGGAUGGUUUUCCGAGGCAUUUCGUCAAGGGGAGAGAAACGGCUGCUUGGAAAUGAGCUCUUAGAGUCAGCCCGGCACUCACUCUCGGGAUCAGUACCAGAGGACACCAGAUGUCUACAUGCAGAAGAAAAAAAUCAUUUGGAGUAGAAAAGCCCACCCCUUCCCCACACCCGAUGCGUGGUAGGUAU